rnacentral:rRNA from 1 species
AUUGAACGCUGGCGGCAGGCCUAACACAUGCAAGUCGAGCGGAUGUAGGGAGCUUGCUCCUGGAUUCAGCGGCGGACGGGUGAGUAAUGCCUAGGAAUCUGCCUGGUAGUGGGGGAUAACGUCCGGAAACGGGCGCUAAUACCGCAUACGACCUGAGGGAGAAAGUGGGGGAUCUUCGGACCUCACGCUAUCAGAUGAGCCUAGGUCGGAUUAGCUAGUUGGUGGGGUAAAGGCCUACCAAGGCGACGAUCCGUAACUGGUCUGAGAGGAUGAUCAGUCACACUGGAACUGAGACACGGUCCAGACUCCUACGGGAGGCAGCAGUGGGGAAUAUUGGACAAUGGGCGAAAGCCUGAUCCAGCCAUGCCGCGUGUGUGAAGAAGGUCUUCGGAUUGUAAAGCACUUUAAGUUGGGAGGAAGGGCAGUAAGUUAAUACCUUGCUGUUUUGACGUUACCAACAGAAUAAGCACCGGCUAACUUCGUG